GACCUAAAGCGAAGUGGUUUCGCGUCCACGCAGCCUGAUAAACAUGAGAAGUUGUUUUGUGCAAGUCCCUGGUUCGACUCCAGGUUAGGUCA